rnacentral:rRNA from 1 species
UACGAAGGGGGCUAGCGUUGCUCGGAAUCACUGGGCGUAAAGGGUGCGUAGGCGGGUCUUUAAGUCAGGGGUGAAAUCCUGGAGCUCAAGUCCAGAACUGCCUUUGAUACUGAAGAUCUUGAGUCCGGGAGAGGUGAGUGGAACUGCGAGUGUAGAGGUGAAAUUCGUAGAUAUUCGCAAGAACACCAGUGGCGAAGGCGGCUCACUGGCCCGGUACUGACGCUGAGGCACGAAAGCGUGGGGAGCAAACAGG